CAGGAACGCUGGCGGCAGGCUUAACACAUGCAAGUCGAGCGCCCCGCAAGGGGAGCGGCAGACGGGUGAGUAACGCGUGGGAAUCUACCCAUCUCUACGGAAUAACGCAUGGAAACGUGUGCUAAUACCGUAUACGUCCUUCGGGAGAAAGAUUUAUCGGAGAUGGAUGAGCCCGCGUUGGAUUAGCUAGUUGGUGGGGUAAAGGCCUACCAAGGCGGCGAUCCAUAGCUGGUCUGAGAGGAUGAUCAGCCACACUGGGACUGAGACACGGCCCAGACUCCUACGGGAGGCAGCAGUGGGGAAUAUUGGACAAUGGGCGCAAGCCUGAUCCAGCCAUGCCGCGUGAGUGAUGAAGGCCCUAGGGUUGUAAAGCUCUUUCACCGGUGAAGAUAAUGACGGUAACCGGAGAAGAAGCCCCGGCUAACUUCGUGCCAGCCGCCGCGGUAACAC
rnacentral:rRNA from 1 species